rnacentral:tRNA from 1 species
GGGGUUAUUGCUCAGUGGUAGAGCACUUGCCUCACAGGUGCAGGACCCUGAGUUCAAUCCUCAGCAACACAU